rnacentral:Y_RNA from 1 species
CAUUGGUCUGAGUGCAGCGGUGUUUACAACUAAUUGAUCACAACCAGUUACAGAUUCCUUUGUUCCUUCUCCACUCCCACUGCUUCACUUGACCAGCCUUUA